AAAAAUAAUUCUUAUUCCUGUUAUAUUUAUAGUUCAAAAAAUAAAAGCUUUAAUAAAUUCAAACCCCGCCCAUACGUCACAUUCUGUUCACGUGCCAAUCGGAAAGCACGCUGCCAGAACGACGUGGCAAACCCGGAAGUGAAUUAUAGCAAACACGGACAUGGCGGACAGGGGCGAAGGACUGAUCGCAACCGAGACGUACGGCUCCCAGGAGGCCUGGUCAUACAGGAUACAGGAUGGAGGGAUGCGGAGAGAGAGAAGGGGAAAUGAACGAGCUGUUAGGGGGAAAUCAGUCACUGAUGCGUUCAAGAAUGUUUUCCUUCCUCAGGGUUACCCUGAGAGCGUCAGCGAGGAUUAUCUACAGUAUCAGAUAUGGGAUACGUUGCAGGCUUUCUGCAGUCUCUCUCGGGCACGCUCGCCACUCAGGCCUCGCUGAAAGGAGUCGGAGUCGGAAAUCAACAAGCAACGGUUGCUGCAGCCACAUUGACUUGGUUACUUAGAGAUGGCACAGGGAUGUUAGGGAGAAUUCUCUUCGCAUGGUUUAAAGGGAGCAAACUGGACUCAGAAGCCAAAAAGUGGAGGUGAGGACCGCUGGGAAUUUGGAGCGUUACGGUUUUCCUUCGUAUCUGUUCGAGAGGUUUCCAG